rnacentral:tRNA from 1 species
GGGCCCACGCCUGGUGGCAAAACCUGGCUUGUCACCCAGAUUUCCCGGGUUCGAUUCCCGGUGGGUCCA